UUGGAGGGCAAGUCUGGUGCCAGCAGCCGCGGUAAUUCCAGCUCCAAUAGCGUAUAUUAAAGUUGUUGCAGUUAAAAAGCUCGUAGUUGAAUUUCGGGAUCAGUUGAUCGGUCGUGCCUCGGUACGUACUGGUCAAAUUGAUUCCUACCUUCUGACGAACCACGAUGUCAUUAAUUUGGUGUCGUGGGAAAUCAGGACUGUUACUUUGAAAAAAUUAGAGUGUUUAAAGCAGGCUCGCGCUUGAAUACAUUAGCAUGGAAUAAUGAAAUAGGACGUUUGAUUCUAUUUUGUUGGUUUCUAGGAUCGACGUAAUGAUUAAUAGGGAUAGUUGGGGGCAUUAGUAUUCAAUUGUCAGAGGUGAAAUUCUUGGAUUUAUUGAAGACUAACUACUGCGAAAGCAUUUGCCAAGGAUGUUUUCAUUAAUCAAGAACGAAAGUUAGGGGAUCGAAGACGAUCAGAUACCGUCGUAGUCUUAACCAUAAACUAUGCCGACUAGGGAUCGGAUGAUGUUAAUUUUUUAAUGACUCAUUCGGCGCCUUACGGGAAAC
rnacentral:rRNA from 2 species